rnacentral:rRNA from 1 species
AACGAACGCUGGCGGCAUGCCUAACACAUGCAAGUCGAACGAUUGCCUUCGGGUGAUAGUGGCGCACGGGUGCGUAACGCGUGGGAAUCUGCCCUUAGGUUCGGAAUAACAGCUGGAAACGGCUGCUAAUACCGGAUGAUAUCGCGAGAUCAAAGAUUUAUCGCCUGAGGAUGAUCCCGCGUUGGAUUAGGUAGUUGGUGGGGUAAACGCCUACCAAGCCUACGAUCCAUAGCUGGUCUGAGAGGAUGAUCAGCCACACUGGGAGUGGGACACGGCCCAGACUUCUACGGGAGGCAGCAGUGGGGAAUAUUGGACAAUGCGCGCGAGCCUGAUCCAGCAAUGCCGCGUGAGUGAUGAAGUCCCUAGGGUUGGAAAGCUCUUUUACCCGGGAAGAUAAUGACUGUACCGGGAGAAUAAGCCCCGGCUAACUCCGUG